rnacentral:ncRNA from 2 species
UUAAAUAUUGAACUCCGAGCUUUGGGACCUACGAUAGGAUUAUUAUGGUUCCUUGGCCGAUAGGGUUUGUUUGGAAACGGACAAACCUCCCGUGCGGAAAGGAGGAUUACUUGAGCAG